GAACAAGCAACGGAACCUUGUAUAUGAGGAUCCUCAUCAAUCCGAGAGCCCCAGCGAGGCUGCAGUCCGUCCACUGCACCAGGAAGAGGAAUAUGUGCGCGGCGGGGCUAAACGACAGCCGCAUCUGCAGGCACGCCCCAUCGUACUCCCGCGGAAAUUCAGUCGCCCUGCACGUCAGAUAGAUCACUUGAGAUCAAUGCAAGGGUUCAACGGCGACGACUGCGGCUACAGGGCAUUGGUCCUUAGGGGCACGUGCACGAAGACUUCCUGACUGUCAUUGCAAGGUCAAGUCGGCCCUGGUAGUGGAGCAGCGAUAGUGGCGCGUCAGCAGCUCGUUCUGAUGGCAAUAGUGACCAUCCAUGGUUUCGGAAUCUCAAUGUAAUUUUUAUUAUAUUUAAGAUGCUUUAUACUUUCGA